rnacentral:rRNA from 1 species
UACAUGUGGGGCAAGCGUUGUUCGGAAUUACUGGGCAUAAAGGGUGCGUAGGCGGCUUGUUAAGUCAGGGGUGAAAGUUUUCGGCCCAACUGGAAAAUUGCCUUUGAUACUGGCGAGCUCGAGUGCGUGAGGGGUAACCGGAACGAGUGGUGUAGCGGUGAAAUGCGUAGAUAUCACUCGGAAGGCCAAAGGCGAAGGCAGGUUACUGGUACGCAACUGACGCUGAGGCACGAAAGCGUGGGGAGCAAACAGG